UCAAAACCAGUAGGAUGCUGGGGUGUCUACUUUUCUUGUGUUAAACUUCAGAUUUCCCGACCCUCCCAGGCUCACCGCAGAGCUGCCAGAGGUGGAAGAGGAUACCCCAUGUGACUCUCUGGAUGAAUGCUAUUUGACUUAUUCGGCCCUUCCUGACCUGUCUGACUCCCUCGGGACUUGUAGCAAGGCUGACAUCACCUCAUUCGAAGAUCUGGACAUCUGUUCUGCUCUGGAAGUAGCUAACAGUCAUAAUGAUCUUGUGGAGGAAGAAGACCAAGGACGGAUUUAUGCCAGGUAACUCUGAAGAAUCAUGGGCUUUAAUGCAGUGGUGAUGUCUGGGGAUCUUGGCUCUCGGCAAAUCUAGAAAGUGCUAAAUGUACCUA
ensembl:lncRNA